ensembl:lncRNA
GUUUGAUCACAAAUUAUUUUAAUGAACUGUCUAAAUGUUGUUUACCAACCAUAAAAAUAGUUUUUUUUUUUUUCAUGUUGCCGUCACACAUGUGAUUUCGUGCCAUGACAACAUCAGUGCAGAAAAGCGUUCGGCUUUUGGCUGUGUACAGAAGUGUCUUUGCGAGGCAGUGUGCAGGAGUCUGUCUAGGGAUCGAAUAACAGAUUCAGGAAACUCUCCCAACGAGGUUAAAAGAACCAGCUCAAGACACUGUGUGAUUUCUUGGGCAGCCGCACAGCACUGAGCGUGAAGAAGUCCUUUUACACACAGUCUGCGAGAUGUGUGGUCUGAAGGGCUCUAUCCCAUUCCUCUCUCUUUGUCUUGUGUGUGUAAGCUCACAUACAGACAUUACAGCAACAACUGUUCCAUACAGCAUUGGAGGACAUGAGAGUGGAAAUACUUAUGGAGGAAGCCCGGAUGUCAGUUCCCCCUCUUGCCCUCUACAGAAUGGACCUCCAAGCAGCGUGACAUUACUCCAUCAAUCUGUGUUUAAAGAGCAGUGUGUGUCCGCAUUGCAGCUUGUUAACAGGCAUCUCUUUCUUUCUCUUCAUGUUCAUGUUCAGGAGCACACAAAAAACCCACAUAUGCUUGCAUGCUCAUCUAUAUGUGUUUCUAUCACCCUUGUACGUGUAAUCACACACACACACACACACACACACACACAUUGCUGUCUUAUCUUUUACCAGAAGCCUCUUGAACACAAG